CUGUAUGUCAAACAUGAUAUCGGCUUGAAGCUAGACAAAGAAAUCGUUGCAUUUAGUACUCUAAAGGCAUCUCAUUUUCUAAAAUGAAUCAAAUAAUCUGGAAUGACACACAUGUUUUUUUUAAGGAUAUAGGUAGAUUUACCCAGAAAGUGUCUAUGAAUGCCUUUUCUCAUUGAUCCACUCAGCUCCAAGUAGAAAGGUCCCGUACCAGCGGACGCAUCCACACGUGCUCCUGCGUGGAAGCUGCUCUGCCGACGUCGUACAAGUUGCUCUGGGUCCCGGAGCUCCGGUGCAAAAUCCGCCGGUACAGACACAUGUACGGCAAUCAGGAUGAGUGAGAAGAAAGCCGCUUGCAUGAUCAACGGGAGAUGCCGUGCUCUCUUUACUCCAUACAGAAUAAGUGUUUCAGAGGCAGAGGAGAGAGGAUGAAGGGACAGCAGAAGAUGUGAAAGGAUGAUGGAGACGCUGAUUCAGCUUUACUUGUCUGUGUCCGUGAUUCAGAAAAGAAGGGUAAAGAGGGGCCGCAAGUAGGAAUUCAAGGCACCGCCACCCUCAUGACGAAGCAAGAAGAAGAAAAAAACCUCCGCCAUAUUUGCAAGUGCUCUAGUCGCCCUGACGGUGACAGAGACAAUCAAACACAAGAGGAUGGGGAAGCGCUCAAGUCCUUGAUGGACGACAACGGAAACUCUUUCGGAUGAACCGUCACAGGGCAAGGACUCAACCAAUUCCAGCGAGCACCCAUAUAAACUGAGGGGAUUAAACGACGCCUCUCCGUCCCCUUCAUUUCACAAAAUGAAAAAAGAAAAAAUCAUAAAAGCAGCAAAGAAUGGCAUUUCCACAAUUUCUAAUAUAAAGGAAGCUACCCAAAUAUACAUAUAAAGUUUGAAUAAAUACUAUCAGAUAUAG